AUGGUCAACACAAAUGUGUUUAGUAUCCAUAUCAAGAGAUCUACACUUCCAUGUGAUGUCCAUGUUAUGUUUGUCUUUCACUUGCAUUCCAGUAACUUGGAUUAAGCAUAUCCCCUCACGAAAGGUUUCUUGCAGGAUAAAGCAUUGAUGGAAGAUCCAAUCUAUGAGGAAUUCUAGCAAAGGGAUGUGGAAGAAUCAAUUAGGCAAGGAAAUGCAAAGGAAGCUGCUCUGCAGGUCUCAAACUGGGGUUUCAGCCUGUUGGACCUCAAGUUGUAGAAGAAAAAACAGAGUGGAAGUGCUGAUUUGCUCAUUUGGUUGAAGUAAAUGUUCAUUAAAGUUCAAGAGGAAUACAUGAUUUUUCUUGGCCUAAUACAUAUAUGACAAGACCAAAGAUAUUUUUCUUGUAUCCAGAGGCUUAAGGUUUGUAUAGAUGAUUCCAGAACCUUGAGAUAAGCUACUCACUAGAUCAAGAAAAGUUGAAGAGUUUAUUGAAUUAGCCCAACAAAAAAGCAUGGAGAUAGGUUUGGCGGUGGUUCCAUAAAUUAUGUGAAGAGACGAGUCAUGACUCAUGAUGAUCUGAUUGGUCAUUUAUAUAUCAAGUAAAUUUUUUGUACUUUUUGAUCAAUUGAACCAUGUUUCAUUGUAAGUAGGGCAGUAAAGUUUUAAUUUGAUUUAUAUAUUAUAUUUUUUUUCUAAGAUUGAGUAGUAUUUACCCUGAGAAAGGAUUACACUAGAAAAGUUUUUUCCUCAACGGUGGUUUUUCACUUGUCCUUUACAUUAGAGGCGGUUUUGUGGCUUUGUGGUAAAUAUAAAGUGUUGAGUUAUUUAUUAUAACUACUAUAAAGGGUUGAAUGAUUUGGUGCUUCUUCCCAUUUGAACUACUACUUUGGUAUGAGUUUAUAAAUGUGGUUUUUUUUAAGCUCAUGUAUAAAAUUGCGGCGGUUUUGAAACCGCCGCAGAUUUUUUUAAAAUCCACUGAGCAAAAUAGCGGCGGUUCUGCAACCGCCGCAAAAUCGAAUAUCUGAUUUGUUGCGGUUGUGCCAGCGGUUUCUCAAAAUCGCCGCAAAAUCAAAUCUCCACCCCCUAAUAGGCAACGCUUGUGGAACCGCUGGAAUUUUGUUUCGCGGCGGUU